AUGCGCUUGAAAUCCGUGCUGUAAACACCCAAUCAGGCCUGACUGACGAAAGUGCCCAUCUGGCCAUUCUGAAGGGCUGGUUGCCCUCUGAGUUGCAUGUCCACCAAGCUGCAGAGCAUAAACGUGGUCUGACGCUGUCAUGUAAGCCACAAACCGUAUCCACCUCUCCCAACCUCACUGAGUGUAUGCGUAGUGCGCUCCUCCAGGUGGUCCACGGUCUGCCUCUUCGGCUUAUCCAUGCUUAUUCAAGCUCGACGAGGCUCAAGAGGCUGAGACUUACUUUGCGUGGCCCCCCUGCCGUGGUGGAAGGGACAGCACUAAGCUGUGUGUUUUGGGCAGAGCAGGGAGGAUUGCAGUGAGAUGAAUGGAGAAUAGCAGGAGGGAGGGGGAGUGCGAAGGAAAGAGCGAGUGAAAAACUGAAAGAGAGAUAUCGAGACCUGGCUCAUGGUUUGCCAUGCUGAGCAGGUCCACCACCUUGAGCAUCAAACCAGUGACUGUCCAAGAUGUGGGCACUUCAGAAAUGAAAACAUGAGACUGCGGCCAGGCUAAACAAGUCAGUGCAUUAAUCAUCUGAAGUGAAGAGAAGAAAAACAUUACACCACGAGAAAUACUGCAAAGUGCCUUCGGUUUUGCAAAGGCCAUCAGAUUGCAUUCAGCUAAUCAGGAAAUAAGAAGUCAUACAG